rnacentral:rRNA from 1 species
UACGAAGGGGGCUAGCGUUGCUCGGAAUCACUGGGCGUAAAGGGUGCGUAGGCGGGUCUUUAAGUCAGAGGUGAAAUCCCGGAGCUCAACUCCAGAACUGCCUUUGAUACUGAAGAUCUUGAGUUCGGGAGAGGUGAGUGGAACUGCGAGUGUAGAGGUGAAAUUCGUAGAUAUUCGCAAGAACACCAGUGGCGAAGGCGGCUCACUGGCCCGAUACUGACGCUGAGGCACGAAAGCGUGGGGAGCAAACAGG